AUUAAGGGCGUAUGGGGGAUGUCUUGGCAUCAGGUGGCGAUAAUGGGCGUGAAAGUCUGCGAAAUGCUCGGGGGAGUUGACAAAUAAACAGUGAUCCCGAGAUUCCCUAGCAAACGCGGAGAACUGAAACAUCUAAGUACCCGCAGGAAGAGAAAGAAAAAUCGAUUUCCUCAGUAGCGGCGAGCGAACGGGAAACAGCCCAAACCGUCGAGGUUUCCUCGGCGGGGUUGUAGGGCCCUUCACAUGAGAGUCACAAAUCUAUCUGGAAGCAGAAGUCCUUGGAAAGGGACGCCGCAGAGGGUGACAGCCCCGUAAGCGACUCCGGAUAGACUCUCGAGGGGUACCUGAGUAGGUCGGGUCACGUGAAACCCCGACUGAAUCCACGGGGACCAUCCCGUAAGGCUAAACACAACCUGAUGACCGAUAGUGAACUCAGUAUGGCGACUGAAAGAUGAGAAGAACCCCUUCUAGGGGAGGUAUGUGAACCUGAAACCAUACGCUUACAAGCUGUCGGAGCACUAUUAUCUUCGGAUAAGUGUGACGGCGUGCCUUUUGCAUAAUGAUCCGGCGAGUUACCGUCAAUGGCUCGAUUAAGGCCUUCCGGGCCGAAGUCUCAGCGAAAGCGAGUCUGAAUAGGGCGUUUUGUCAGUGGCGGUAGACGCGAAACCAGGUGAACUACCCAUGAGCAGGUUGAAGCGCGGGUAAGACUGCGUGGAGGACCGAACCCACCUAGGUUGAAAACUGGGGGGAUGACUUGUGGGGAGGAGUAAAAGUCUAAUCAAACCUGGAGAUAGCUCGUUCUCUCCGAAAUAGCUUUAGGGCUAGCCUUGAGCCACUACGUAAUGGGGGUAGAGCACUGAUUUGGACUGGGGGGCUUCCCGCCUACCCACCCUAGUUAAACUCCGAAUACCAUUACGAUUAUCUCAGGAGUCAGUCCACGAGGGAGAAGCUUCGUGGUCGAGAGGGAAACAACCCAGAUCGCCUGCUAAGGUCCCAAAGUCUUGCUAAGUCACUAAGGAUGUUAAGAUACUGUGACAGCCAGGAUGUUGGCUUAGAAGCAGCCAUCAUUUAAAAAGUGCGUAAUAGCUUACUGGUCGAGUGUUUUAGCACCGAUAAUGAACGGGAGUAAGUAAGACACCGAAGCAGCGGAUUCAGCUUAUGCUGAGUGGUAGGAGAGCGUUCCAGUGCAGAUACUAGCCGUACCGUAAGGAGCGGUGUUGGGCACUGGAAGUGAUUAUGCCGGAAUGAGUAACGAUAAAACAGGUGAGAAUCCUGUUCGCCGCAAACCUAAGGUUUCCUGGGGAAGGUAAUUCCGCCCAGGGUUAGCCGGUACCUUAGUUGAGGCCGAAAGGCGUAGACGAUGGAGAGCAGGUUAAUAUUCCUGCGCCGGAUAUGUGGACCGAUGGGGGGACGUUGUGUAGAUUGUGAUCGGGCUGACAGAAAUGCCCGUAGGGGAAGACAAGGCUGUGGAUAGGAAAAUCCGCCACAUCAAGCCAAGGCUUUCACUCGAGUCCAAUGAUGACGAAGUCAUAUGACGCAUAACCAAGAAAAGCCUCUAAGGAUUGAAGCAUAUCUGACCGUACUAAAACUGACACAGGUAGGUGAGGCGCGUAGCCUAAGGCGCUCGGGAAAACGCUGGUUAAGGAACUCUGCAAAAUGACCCCGUAAGUUCGCGAUAAGGGGUGCCUCCGAUGGUUCACGCUAUUGGAGGUCACAGUAAAUCGGCUCUGGCGACUGUUUACUAAAAACACAGGACUCUGCGAACUCGUAAGAGGAUGUAUAGAGUCUGACUCCUGCUCGGUGCCGGUAAGUUAAGGAAGAGGGUUAGCCUUUGGGCGAAGCUCGCAACCGAAGCUCCGGUAAACGGCGGCCGUAACUAUGACGGUCCUAAG
rnacentral:rRNA from 1 species